GACACUAUAGCCAAGUGGUUACGGCGACAGAUUAGAACGUAUGAACUCAUCUGUUUCCCUUUGGGAGCGUAGGUUCGAACCCUACUGGUGUCG